rnacentral:rRNA from 1 species
AACGAACGCUGGCGGCAGGCUUAACACAUGCAAGUCGAACGCAUCCUUCGGGGUGAGUGGCAGACGGGUGAGUAACGCGUGGGAACGUGCCCUUCAGUUCGGGAUAACCCAGGGAAACUUGGGCUAAUACCGGAUACGUGCGAGAGCAGAAAGAUUUAUCGCUGAAGGAUCGGCCCGCGUCUGAUUAGCUAGUUGGUGGGGUAAUGGCCCACCAAGGCGACGAUCAGUAGCUGGUCUGAGAGGAUGAUCAGCCACAUUGGGACUGAGACACGGCCCAAACUCCUACGGGAGGCAGCAGUGGGGAAUAUUGGACAAUGGGCGCAAGCCUGAUCCAGCCAUGCCGCGUGAGGGAUGACGGCCUUCGGGUUGUAAACCUCUUUCAGCAGGGAAGAAGCGAAAGUGACGGUACCUGCAGAAGAAGCACCGGCUAACUACGUGCCAGCCGCCGCCGUAA